AUUGAACGCUGGCGGCAGGCCUAACACAUGCAAGUCGAGCGGAUGAAGGGAGCUUGCUCCUGGAUUCAGCGGCGGACGGGAGGGGAAUGCAAAGGAAGGUGCCUGGUAGUGGGGGAUAACGUCCGGAAACGGGCACAAAUACCGCAUACGACCAGAGGUUGAAAGUGGGGGAUCUUCGGACCAAAGGCGAUCAGGUGAGCCUAGGUCGGAUUAGCUAGUUGGGGGGGUAAAGGCCUACCAAGGCGACGAUCCGUAACAGGUUUGAGAGGAUGAUCAGCCACACUGGAACUGAGACACGGUCCAGACUCCUACGGGAGGCAGCAGUAGGGAAUAUUCCACAAUGGGCGAAAGCCUGAUGCAGCCACGCCGCGUGUGUGAUGAAGGUUUUCGGAUUGUAAAGCACUUUUAGUUGGGAGGAAGGGCAGUAAGUUAAUAUCUUGCUGUUUUGACGUUACCAACAGAGUAAGCACCGGCUAACUUCGUG
rnacentral:rRNA from 1 species